rnacentral:lncRNA from 1 species
ACUUUAAAUUACAAAGACUUGCCAUGGAUCUUGGAAUUCUCCCUGCAAGAUCAGUAUUUAAUGAGAGAUCGAGCCGACUGAUGGAAGUCAAGUUUCCAAGAGCCUCUGAGUCAAUUGUACCUUGCAAUUUAUUGUUGCGAAGACUAAGGUACUCAAGAUGGAUGAAUCUAUACAACCAGUUGGGAAUUGAAGAGUUGAAGUAGUUGGAAUCUAAACCUAGAUGUUUAAGGGAAGUUAGGUUUUGAAGUCUCCCAGGAAUUGGACCUUGAAAAUUAUUAAAACCUAGGUCAAGAAAGAGCAAAUGACUUAGACCAAAAACCCAACUAGGAAUGAACGAGUUAUCAAAUUGGUUGUGGGAAAGGUCAAGUACUGUGAGAGACGAAAAAUUUGCGGUGGCUAAUGGAGAGAAUUGGAGUUGGCAAUUUGACAAUCUUAAUUCUACCAAAGAAGGGAGUUUGUUUGCUACCAUCAGCCAAUCAAAGGCUUUGCUAAGAUUCACAGAACGCAAAUCGAGGUGUUCCAGGACAGAAAGACCAGAAAGCCACAUAAAAUUGUCAACGUAUAAUAAAUAAUUUGAACUAAGGUCAAGAAACUGCAGAUUGGAGAGAUUUCCAAGUUGUUGAGGUAUCAUUCCGCCGAUUCGAGUUCCAGAAAAAUUGAGAUACCGUAGAUUUCCCAUGGAGCCAACAAAUCUAGGAAUUUGAUCACCUUGGAAAUCAUUGAAGCUCAAGUCCAGGUAACUCAAAUGCUUUAAAUCAAGCAAAGAAGGAUUUAUCUUACCAACAAGCGCUGUCCCCCGAAUAGCGUCAUAUUCAGACUCCUUGGAAUAAUUGAAAGGAUUUCGAAGGUCGAGGUGAAGCACAUGGCCGGUCAUGUUGUCACAGACAACACCAGUCCAUGCUCAACAAUCUCCGCUGCCAGUCCAAGAAGCAAGCCUGUUAGAAGGGUCUUUAAGAUCUCGCUUGAGCCUUAAAAGUGCUCCUCUCUCACUUUCAAGGCAACCCCCGUGAUAAGAACUUCCGUUGCAGAAGCUAAUGCUAAUGGUUGCUAUGGCAAGUAUUUCAAAGAGAAAUAAGGCAAAAACAAGGACACAGCUCAUGUUCGGUUUCAUUGCUAUAUGCAGUAAUGAAGAAAAUGUGAAAGAAUGUUAUCAAUGGCAUUGCUAUUUAUAAUGAAGGGAGAUUGCAAAUUUUCCCCCUACAGUAAUCAACAUAUACCAUUUUUAUCUCUGUUGUUUUUAUAAUGGUCAAAAACCUCCUUAAUAGCAUAAGUUUAUAAUAUUACCCUUAUUUUCAACUACUUUUUUAUUUAUAUUUAUUAUAAAUUAAAUAAAUCACAUGAAUAGAAACUAAAUAAAAAAUUAAGCAUUAAAAACAAGAAAUAUAUGUUUUGAUAUGAAAAAAAAAUUAAUAAUAAAUUUUUUUAUACUUAUUUAUUUUGUGAAAAUUUUCUUAUAAUAAAUAUAUAAGAAAAUUAUUAGUAAAAUGAUAAAAAAAUUAUUAUAAGAAAACUUGAUUGACAAAUAAAAAUUUAUUAUAAAGGCGGAUGUACGGUACAGCAGAGAAAAUUAUUAGUAAAAUGAUAAAAAAAUUAUUAUAAGAAAAUUUGAACAACAAAUAAAAAUUUAUUAUAAGAUAAAUAAUAAAAUAUUUUGCCUAUACUUUUUACAUUUGAUUUUAAAAUAUUACAAAAUGUUUAUUAUAAGAAAAUGUUCACAAAAUAAAUAAUUACAAUAAAAAAUUUUAUUAUGAAUUUUUUUGCUCAUAUCAAAAUAUAUAUUUUUUGUUUUUAAUACUUAAUUUUUUUAUUUAGUUAAUAUUCAUGUAAUUUAUUUAAUUUAUAAUAAAUGUAAAUAAAAGAGUAGUUAAAAAUAAGGGUAAUAUUGUAAACUUAUGUUGUUAGGGGAGUUUUUAGCCAUUAUAAAAAUAAAAAGAGAGUAAAUGGUAUAUGUUAAUUACUGUAGGGGGAAAAGUGUCAAUCCCCCUAUAAUGAAUUGUAAUUUUUAUGAACAAUGCCAAUACACUCUUGCAGAUAACGUUAACUUUAUUUACAUCUAUUUGAUCGUGGGCCACGUAAAUAUCUUUCGCACAAUCAAUUUCAAUAAUACCCUACUUUCUACGGAAACGAUUGUAAGUUAAUUUAAUAAUGGUGGAGCUAUUUGAAUUUUGAGCCCACCAAUUUCCUUUAAAAAAUUGGCUCAGACGUUAUUAUAAAAACAAUAAUAAAAUAACAAAAUAGAUGGCCAAUAAUGGUCUGGGGGGAAAAUUGACAAUCUUUACAUGAUUAAUGGCUCCAUAUUUUUACAAUGUAAAAUUAUUGAUGUGUGUGAAAUGGUACCAUAUAGGGACAUUAACGAAAUUUUGUUGACAAGGCUGGUGUGCUCUAUCAAUCAAUCUCAAUAUAGCAAUAUCUCUCUAUAGUUAUAAUAUUAGGACCAAAUUAGUUAAUUGCAAUGAAGAGAUUAUAACUUAAUACAUGAGUAGUUACGAAAAUUAUUGUUUUAACUUAUUUAUCCUUAGUGCAAGAAUAUAGAGGUAAAGUAUGUAAUACAUUAAUAAUUUAUUAAUGGAGCAUAUCAAAUCCAAAUAUAUCAAAAAAUUAGUUCAAUGUAUCUAUGCACUAUUAUUAGGAAUAUUAAAGUCAUCUUAAAAAACUCUAAUUAUUUGCAUUCUCUUCAUUAAUUAUCUCUCAUUGUGUAGUUGUACUAUCUGGAAGUAAGUUCCUUUAAUAUAACAUAACAUAUAUUUUUACGGUACAUUAAUAAUUAUUACUAAGUGGAGGCAAGUUUCUUAAAAUGGGAUCUAAAAAUUCUUAAAAUCGGAUUAAAAAACUAUAAUUUAUUAUAAUAUGCAGUUUAUUCUUAUUUAUAACUGGCCUAAACUGAAAUCAAAAUUUUUUAUUAUUAACUAAAAAUUAAUUCUAUAUAGAGUAUUACUAUCGGGAAAUUUUGCCAUACUUAUAUCUUAUUCAGCAAAUCAACAUGCAUUUGAAUUUGAAAUUCAUAAUUUGGAAAGAAGUAACCAGAAUCUUAGUUUCCUGCAUAAUCGAAUGGGAAAAGGCCACCCACAACCGUAAGGUUUUGUUAAGUGGUCACAUAAACCCCCUUUCGUUUCAUAAAUGGUCAGAUAGACACCUUAAUUUCAUAAAUGAUUAUUAUACCCUUUGAUUAUAACAACCCGAAUUAAUAUAAAUACAAUAAUAAGAUAAAAAUAAAAAAUAUAUAUCAUAUGAUAUAAAUAAAAAAUUACAAUAAGUGUAUUUAAUAAAAUUGCCUAUAUAAUGAAUUAUCUUAAAUAUUAAGUUGUUAUUAGACUAUCCUGAUGGAAUUUAUUAAUACUAAAAUAUAUUAAUCCAAAAAUUAAUUUUAAUAUAUUAUACUGAUAGACAAUUAAAAAAGACAUAGUCAAUCGAAUAAUAUACAAUUUAUAAAUAACUAUGAAUAUUAUGUAUAGUUAUUUUAACAUUAUUAAUAUGUCAAAUAGAUUUUAUUAUUAUUAAAAGAAUAUGACAGAUUAAUGAUGUUAAAAUAACUUUUCUAAUAUUCCAAAUAAUUUAUACAUUUGAUCUUAAUUUAUACAUUAUAUUUUUUUUGCAUUUUAAUUUUUAUUUAUUAUAAAAGUUUAUUUAAAAUGAAUAUUGAAUUGUUGUAAUAAAAGUUUAUUUAAAGUGAAUAUUGAAUAGUUGUAAUCAAGGGUAUAACGGUUAAAAAAAGACUUGAUUUUAAUAUAUUAUACUGAUAGACAAUUAAAAAAGACAUAGUCAAUCGAAUAAUAUACAAUUUAUAAAUAACUAUGAAUAUUAUGUAUAGUUAUUUUAACAUUAUUAAUAUGUCAAAUAGAUUUUAUUAUUAUUAAAAGAAUAUGACAGAUUAAUGAUGUUAAAAUAACUUUUCUAAUAUUCCAAAUAAUUUAUACAUUUGAUCUUAAUUUAUACAUUAUAUUUUUCGAGAUCUAAAAUCUUUAAUUGGGAAGCAGAUUUCAAAAAUCUAAUGGGAAAAAUAUCUGAAAUUCUUGAGUUGACUAAAUCUAGAAACUGUAAAUGCCUUUGUGAAUUAAGCCAUAGAGGAAAUCGAGACCCUAUAUAACAACUAUGCAAUCCUAAUGCAACAAGUUGGAAAGGAGGAAUCCAAUCAUGGUUCACUUCCAACGUCAAUUGGUUUCCACCUACUCUGAACCAUGACAGUUCUGUCAGAUUGGCAAAGUGAAGUUCAGAAAGUGUUCCGUUUAACUUAUUAUCUUAUAUCUGUAGUUCUCUCCAGGUUGAGAGUUGACCAAAUGACUCUGGAAUAGGACCAACAAUUGAAUUAUUAGCAAGAUUAAGAGUGACGAGAUUUCUAAAUUGGCCAAGCUGAUCAGUCAAAUGACCAUAUAUUGAACUACUCCGCAUAUCUAAACUCUCUAGUCCAUUAGAAACACAUCCCGAGAAAAUAUCUAAAAUCUCAGAAAUUUCUUGGCUCACAUGGACACCCCGAAGAUUGAUUGACUUUAAAUUACAAAGACUUGCCAUGGAUCUUGGAAUUCUCCCUGCAAGACCAGUAUUUAAUGAGAGAUCGAGCCGACUGAUGGAAGUCAAGUUUCCAAGAGCCUCUGAGUCAAUUGUACCUUGCAAUUUAUUGUUGCGAAGACUAAGGUACUCAAGAUGGAUGAAUCUAUACAACCAGUUGGGAAUUGAAGAGUUGAAGUAGUUGGAAUCUAAACCCAGAUGUUUAAGGGAAGUCAGGUUUUGAAGUCCCCCAGGAAUUGGACCUUGAAAAUUAUUAAAACCUAGGUCAAGAAAGAGCAAAUGACUUAGACCAAAGACCCAACUAGGAAUGAACGAGUUAUCAAAUUGGUUGUGGGAAAGGUCAAGCACUGUGAGAGACGAAAAAUUUGCGGUGGCUAAUGGAGAGAAGUGUUGGAGUUGGCAAUUUGACAAUCUUAAUUCUACCAAAGAAGGGAGUUUGUUUGCUACCAUCAGCCAAUCAAAG